UGCCCUGUGGAUUUUAAUCUGCAAGCCCUAUAUAUUACCCUGUAACUCUCCAAAACACCAUAAAACCUGUACAUGAGAGGUACUGUUUUACUUGUGAGACUUUGUUGAACAUGAGUGUUUUAAAACAGUAAAACCUAUAAUGAAGAUAUCAUCAGUGAAAAUGCAGUUUGUUUGUUAUAUUCUUGGUUGUCUACUUUUGCAAAUGGUAUGCCAUGAUGGGGGGUAAUACUCAUUCGUGGGCUGCCAUAUAGUUUCAAGGUCAACACAGGCCCAGCAAACCAAUGCAGCAAACUAAAAUGGGCAAGCCCUAUAUUUGACCAUGUAACUUUACAAAACACCAUAAAACCUAUACAUAGAUGGUUCUUUUGCACUCCUGAGACAUCGCUGAACACAAAUAUGAGUGUUUUAGAGCAGUAAAAUGUAUAAUGACAAUGAUAUGAACAGUGAAAGGGCAGUUGUUUGUAAAAAAUGUAAAAACCAAAUAUGAACGCUAACUUUGGCCAGGGUAUAUGACUAAGUGGCUACAAAAAAAAAAAAAACGGGUCAUUUUGAAUACCUUUGCUUGUCUGCUUUUGCAAAUAGUAUGCCAUGAUGGGGAUCAUUUUCAUUCCUGGGCUGCCAUACAGUCUCAAGAGCAACAUGAC